rnacentral:sRNA from 1 species
GACCCUCUUGAUGGGGAGCAGUGGCCGG